GACCUCAAAGAUCAUCCAGUUCCAACCCCUCUGCAACGGGCAGGGACACCUCUCACUAGAUCUUGUCUGAAGUCAUAUCACAAAUAAAGGGUUAAGCUUUGAGAAAAGAAGUUAAAAUACUACACAAAAGCAGCAACUGAAUCCAGUGAAGUGAAGGUCAGGUAUUGUGCUCCUGCGAUGGUUUCUAAAGGCAUCCAAUGAACGGAGGAAGAAACUGAUUCUGGGAUACUGAUGACCGUGUUCCCCGCUACAAAUGGUACACGCAUGGGAAAAGUCUCCUUCACACACAUUUCUCAUCCCCAGAGCCAGGUUUCAGAAAGAAAAAGCAGUCACUAAAAUCCAAGCCUGAAGCUAACAGACCUUUCUGUCCCUGGAAUAGCAAUUGCAGCACAUCCCCACGCCACGUCCCAGUGCAUGACAGUCAUCAAGAAAUGGCGUUUGCUCAUUAGCAAGGAGCCAAAGCACACCAUCACUUUCCUAAUUAGCAUGGAUAAUGCAGUCCAUGGUUUUAUUUUUAAUGUCACUGAAAGCUCUGCUUGCACACAAGGCUGAAGGACUCAAGUGACUUUGAUAAAUAUUUAAUGACAGGUCUUCAACAAUGUC